rnacentral:rRNA from 1 species
GACGAACGCUGGCGGCGUGCUUAACACAUGCAAGUCGAACGGUGAAAGCGGAGCUUGCUCCGCUGGAUCAGUGGCGAACGGGUGAGUAACACGUGGGCAACCUGCCCCUCACUUCGGGAUAACUCCGGGAAACCGGGGCUAAUACCGGAUAUGACCUCCUUGGGCAUCCUUGGAGGUGGAAAGUUUUUCGGUGAGGGAUGGGCCCGCGGCCUAUCAGCUUGGUGGUGAGGUAGUGGCUCACCAAGCGGACGACGGGUAGCCGGCCUGAGAGGGCGACCGGCCACACUGGGACUGAGACACGGCCCAGACUCCUACGGGAGGCAGCAGUGGGGAAUAUUGCGCAAUGGGCGAAAGCCUGACGCAGCAACGCCGCGUGCGGGAUGACGGCCUUCGGGUUGUAAACCGCUUUCAGCAGGGAAGAAGCCGCAAGGUGACGGUACCUGCAGAAGAAGCACCGGCUAACUACGUGCCAGCAGCCGCGGUAA